AUUUAGCAUUCGAAUACAAUGUUUGACUGUUUGUCUUAUUUAAAAAUAUGAUUAAUAUUUUUAUUGUUAUUAGAUGAUAAAACAUGAGUCGUACUUCAUGCAUGACUAGUUUUCUUUGACUUUUAUAUAAUUUUUGAAAUAAGACGGAUAGUCAAACGUUAGAUACAAACCA
rnacentral:pre_miRNA from 1 species